GGGGAUUUAGCUUAGUGGUAGAGUGCUUGCCUAGCAAGCACAAGGUCCUGGGUUCGGUCCCCAGCUCCG
rnacentral:tRNA from 1 species